GUGGAUUAGUGGCGAACGGGUGAGUAACAUUUUGGGCAAUCUGCCCUUCACUCUGGGACAAGCCCUGGAAACGGGGUCUAAUACCGGAUAACACUCUGUCCCGCAUGGGACGGGGUUAAAAGCUCCGGCGGUGAAGGAUGAGCCCGCGGCCUAUCAGCUUGUUGGUGGGGUGAUGGCCUACCAAGGCGACGACGGGUAGCCGGCCUGAGAGGGCGACCGGCCACACUGGGACUGAGACACGGCCCAGACUCCUACGGGAGGCAGCAGUGGGGAAUAUUGCACAAUGGGCGAAAGCCUGAUGCAGCGACGCCGCGUGAGGGAUGACGGCCUUCGGGUUGUAAACCUCUUUCAGCAGGGAAGAAGCGAAAGUGACGGUACCUGCAGAAGAAGCGCCGGCUAACUACGUGCCAGCAGCCGCGGUAAUACGUAGGGCGCAAGCGUUGUCCGGAAUUAUUGGGCGUAAAGAGCUCGUAGGCGGCUUGUCACGUCGGAUGUGAAAGCCCGGGGCUUAACCCCGGGUCUGCAUUCGAUACGGGCUAGCUAGAGUGUGGUAGGGGAGAUCGGAAUUCCUGGUGUAGCGGUGAAAUGCGCAGAUAUCAGGAGGAACACCGGUGGCGAAGGCGGAUCUCUGGGCCAUUACUGACGCUGAGGAGCGAAAGCGUGGGGAGCGAACAGGAUUAGAUACCCUGGUAGUCCACGCCGUAAACGUUGGGAACUAGGUGUUGGCGACAUUCCACGUCGUCGGUGCC
rnacentral:rRNA from 2 species